GCGUGAGGGAAGAAGGUCUUCGGAUUGUAAACCUCUGUCCUAUGGGACGAAAAAAAUGACGGUACCAUAGGAGGAAGCUCCGGCUAACUACGUGCCAGCAGCCGCGGUAAUACGUAGGGAGCGAGCGUUGUCCGGAAUUACUGGGCGUAAAGGGUGCGUAGGCGGCGCUGCAAGUCAGAUGUGAAAUCCCCGGGCUUAACCCGGGGGGUGCAUUUGAAACUGCAGUGCUUGAGUGCAGGAGAGGAAAGCGGAAUUCCUAGUGUAGCGGUGAAAUGCGU
rnacentral:rRNA from 1 species